rnacentral:rRNA from 1 species
UACGUAGGGUCCGAGCGUUGUCCGGAAUUAUUGGGCGUAAAGGGCUCGUAGGCGGUCUGUUGCGUCGGGAGUGAAAACUUACAGCUUAACUGUGAGCGUGCUUUCGAUACGGGCAGACUUGAGGCAUUCAGGGGAGAACGGAAUUCCUGGUGUACCGGUGAAAUGCGCAGAUAUCAGGAGGAACACCGGUGGCGAAGGCGGUUCUCUGGGAAUGUCCUGACGCUGAGGAGCGAAAGUGUGGGGAGCGAACAGG